CCUACGGGAGGCUGCAGUGGGGAAUCUUGGACAAUGGGCGCAAGCCUGAUCCAGCCAUGCCGCGUGAGUGAUGAAGGCCUUAGGGUUGUAAAGCUCUUUUACCAGGGACGAUAAUGACGGUACCUGGAGAAUAAGCCCCGGCAAACUUCGUGCCAGCAGCCGCGGUAAUACGAAGGGGGCUAGCGUUGUUCGGAAUUACUGGGCGUAAAGCGCACGUAGGCGGAUCGUUAAGUCAGGGGUGAAAUCCCGGAGCUCAACUCCGGAACUGCCUUUGAUACUGGCGAUCUAGAGAUCGAGAGAGGUGAGUGGAAUUCCGAGUGUAGAGGUGAAAUUCGUAGAUAUUCGGAAGAACACCAGUGGCGAAGGCGGCUCACUGGCUCGAUACUGACGCUGAGGUGCGAAAGCGUGGGGAGCAAACAGGAUUAGAUACCCCUGUAGUC
rnacentral:rRNA from 1 species